AAGGCUCUCCGAAAAUUAAAGCAUCUGGGUUGCAUUCAGGAGAUGCAGGUUAGUAUCCUGCGAGUCUUA
rnacentral:tRNA from 1 species